UAUGUGAUCGUCUCUCGCAUAUCAAUAAGCGGAGGAAAAGAAACUAACAAGGAUUCCCCUAGUAACGGCGAGUGAAGCGGGAAGAGCUCAAAUUUGAAAUCUUAAAGGGUUUCCCUUUACGAAUUGUAGUUUAAAGAAGUGUUUUCUGUUGAGGUUUUUUUGGUAAAAGUUCUUUGGAAUAGGACAUCAUAGAGGGUGAGAAUCCCGUAUUUGACCUUUACUUUCAACUUUGUGAUACACUUUCAAAGAGUCGGAUUGUUUGGGAAUGCAGUCCAAAAUGGGUGGUAAAUUUCAUCUAAAGCUAAAUAUUGGCGAGAGACCGAUAGCGAACAAGUACCGUGAGGGAAAGAUGAAAAGAACUUUGAAAAGAGAGUUAAACAGUACGUGAAAUUGUCAAAAGGGAAGCGUUUGACACCAGUGUUGUUUUUCUGAAAAUCAAUUAAAGAACUGUUUAUGCUAAGUUGUUUAGACUUUAUCAGCUAACUGUUUAGUUUUGAGCUUUUCUUUAAUGCACUUUUCAGUUAACAAGUCAACAUCAAUUUCUUUUGCUGUAAAAAAGCUUGAGGAAGGUGGCUUGAGAUUCGUCUUAAGUGUUUAUAGCCUCUUGCCUAUGCAGUCGGAGAGAUUGAGGUCUGCAGCGUAGAUCCUUCGGGGCUAAAUGCAUUUGUGCUAAGUUAUAGCAUUUUAUAGACAACUUGUUGACUAUGAUUUGUCUUGUAGCUUACUCGCUUAUGUUAUUUUACCUACGCUUAGGAUGUUGAGUAGCGACAUACGCAC
rnacentral:rRNA from 1 species